rnacentral:rRNA from 1 species
CCGGAUUUAUUGGGUUUAAAGGGUGCGUAGGCGGCUUUAUAAGUCAGCGGUGAAAUAUUGCAGCUUAACUGUAACAGUGCCGUUGAUACUGUAGAGCUAGGAUUAGGUUGCUGUGGGCGGAAUGUGUGGUGUAGCGGUGAAAUGCUUAGAGAUCACACAGAAUAUCGAUUGCGAAGGCAGCUCACAAAGCCUAAAUUGACGCUGAGGCACGAAAGUGUGGGGAUCGAACGGGAUUAGAUACCCUGGUAGUCCACACUGUAAACGAUGAUAAUUCGCUGUCGGCGAUAUACAGUCGGUGGCCAAGCGAAAGCGAUAAGUUAUCCACCUGGGGAGUACGACCGCAAGGUUGAAACUCAAAGGAAUUGACGGGGGCCCGCACAAGCGGAGGAACAUGUGGUUUAAUUCGAUGAUACGCGAGGAACCUUACCCGGGCUCGAACGGUGCAUGAAUGUCAGAGAGAUUUGACAGUCCUUCGGGACAUGUAUCGAGGUGCUGCAUGGUUGUCGUCAGCUCGUGCCGUGAGGUGUCGGCUUAAGUGCCAUAACGAGCGCAACCCUUGUUGACAGUUACCAUCAGGUAAAGCUGGGGACUCUGUCGAGACUGCCACCGUAAGGUGUGAGGAAGGGGGGGAUGACGUCAAAUCAGCACGGCCCUUAUGUCCGGGGCGACACACGUGUUACAAUGGGAGGUACAGAGGGCAGCUAUCCAGUGAUGGAGUGCAAAUCUCAAAAACCUUUCUCAGUUCGGAUUGGAGUCUGCAACUCGACUCCAUGAAGUUGGAUUCGCUAGUAAUCGCGCAUCAGC